UACGUAGGGGUGCGAGCGUUAAUCGGAAUUACUGGGCGUAAAGCGUGCGCAGGCGGUUUUGUAAGCCAGAUGUGAAAGCCCCGGGCUUAACCUGGGAAUGGCAUUUGGGACUGCAAGGCUUGAGUGCGGCAGAGGAGACUGGAAAUUCCUGGUGUAGCAGUGAAAUGCGUAGAAUAUCAGGAGGAAUAGCCGAUGGCGGAAGGCCAGGAUC
rnacentral:rRNA from 1 species